UGGGGAAUAUUGGACAAUGGGCGAAAGCCUGAUCCAGCCAUGCCGCGUGUGUGAAGAAGGUCUUCGGAUUGUAAAGCACUUUAAGUUGGGAGGAAGGGCAUUAACCUAAUACGUUAGUGUUUUGACGUUACCGACAGCAUAAGCACCGGCUAACUCUGUGCCAGCAGCCGCGGUAAUACAGAGGGUGCAAGCGUUAAUCGGAAUUACUGGGCGUAAAGCGCGCGUAGGUGGUUUGUUAAGUUGGAUGUGAAAUCCCCGGGCUCAACCUGGGAACUGCAUUCAAAACUGACUGACUAGAGUAUGGUAGAGGGUGGUGGAAUUUCCUGUGUAGCGGUGAAAUGCGUAGAUAUAGGAAGGAACACCAGUGGCGAAGGCGACCACCUGGACUAAUACUGACACUGAGGUGCGAAAGCGUGGGGAGCAAACA
rnacentral:rRNA from 1 species